UUACACAAACCAACCUGAAGAGUACCUUUUUGUCUUCUUUGGAUGAAUACGCAUCAAAGAUGAUUAUGUUGUACCGAUCACGUGGUGGAGCCUAUGGAGAUGAAAUGAAGACCCUCCUAGACCAACUUGAUCAAGCUUCUGAUGUGCUUGCUCAAAGAAAAGCUACAGCUCUCAAAGGUCUACCUUUGUUUAUGAGGGAAAAGUCUAGAAACUUCCUGGAGUCAUGCCUGGACACAGACCCAGAAAAAACA